UACGUAGGGUGCAAGCGUUAAUCGGAAUUACUGGGCGUAAAGCGUGCGCAGGCGGUUAUGUAAGACAGAUGUGAAAUGCCCGGGCUUAACCUGGGAACUGCAUUUGUGACUGCAUGGCUAGAGUGUGUCAGAGGGGGGUAGAAUUCCACGUGUAGCAGUGAAAUGCGUAGAGAUGUGGAGGAAUACCGAUGGCGAAGGCAGCCCCCUGGGACGGUACUGACGCUGAGACGCGAAAGCGUGGGGA
rnacentral:rRNA from 1 species